AGAGCAGAGUGAAACAAUUAGAAGUCAGCAUUUUCUGGUUGGGCACGGUGGCAUACGCCUGUAAUAUCAGCACUUUGGGAGGCCGGAUGGAUCACCUGAGAAUCACGUCUGUGGGCCUCUCUGGUUCAAGGGGCAGUUCUUAUUUACGCUGACACCACCCACCUGGAGAUGUGUGUGACUUCGAGGUAGUGAACACCAUGCUUGAGGACAUCCUGUUCCGGACAUCGGGCUCCUGGUCAAGGAUGGCUCUGAGAAGAGAAGAAAGUGGGUGGAGGAAAAGGAGGAGGAGAGAGAGAAGAAGGAGGAGUAGGAGGAAAGAGGGAAGGAGGAGAAGAAGCAGGAUCCCGGAUUUUAACCCAAUCCAUUCCUCGUGUGAAUGCCUCUAAGUACCUUGAAAAGUCUGCACCUUCACCAACUUGCGAACAUUGCCUGUGCUGUCAUCCCUCCUGACCCAGACAACGAGUCUGUCUGAAGGACUUCCUGUCAUUUUAUAGAAAAAUUGCAGGCACUGCUGCUUCCUCUUUGGGUAAAGAAUCCGAGACUCCAGUAGGGCUGCCUCUUCCGCGGACCCCGAGCUGGUGCUGAACUGCAUGAAGUAGCCGGCACCUAAGGAAAGAGCAGCCAAACAUCACACGUCUGGCUUCCCACACCCCAGGGUUCUGUCCACCCAAACAAAGUGAAAUAGUGAACCACAGCCAUUGUCCAGGCAACAAAAACUAGAACUCUUCGGAGGAAAAUAAAAAGAAGGACAUUUGUCAGUUAA